GCUGGGCACGGUGGCGCAUGUCUGUAGUCCCAGCUAUUCCGGAGGCUGAGGCUGGAGGAUUUCUUGAGUCCAGGAGUUCUGGGCUGUACUGUGCUAUGCCCAUCAGGUGUCCGCAGUAAGUUCGGCAUCAAUGUGGUGACCUCCUGGGAGUGGGGGACCACCAGGUUGCCUAAGGAGGGGUGAAUCAGCCCAGGUCGGAAACAGAGCAGGUCAAAACUCCCGUGCUGAUCAGUAGUGGGAUCAUGCCUGUAAAUAGCCACUGCACUCCAGUCUGGGCAACAUAGCGAGACUCCGUCUCU
rnacentral:SRP_RNA from 1 species